GUAGUACUCCCUCUGUCCGGAAAUACUUGUCAUCAAAAUGAAUAAAAGGGGAUGUAUCUAGAUGUAUAUUAGUUCUAGAUACAUCUUUUUUAUCCAUUUUGAUGACAAGUAUUUUCGGACGGAGGGAGUACUUG
rfam:Triticum aestivum genome assembly, contig: Triticum_aestivum_CS42_TGACv1_scaffold_529264_6DL